GAUGAACGCUGGCGGCGUGCUUAACACAUGCAAGUCGAACGAAGCACCUCUCCCGAAGAUUGACACAGCUUGCUGUAGAUUGAUUCAUUUGAGGUGACUGAGUGGCGGACGGGUGAGUAACGCGUGGGUAACCUGCCUCAUAGAGGGGGACAACAGUUGGAAACGACUGCUAAUACCGCAUAGUAAGAAGAAUUCGCAUGUUUUCUUCUUGAAAGAUUUAUCGCUAUGAGAUGGACCCGCGUCUGAUUAGCUAGUUGGUAAGGUAACGGCUUACCAAGGCGACGAUCAGUAGCCGGCUUGAGAGAGUGAACGGCCACAUUGGGACUGAGACACGGCCCAAACUCCUACGGGAGGCAGCAGUGGGGAAUAUUGCACAAUGGGGGAAACCCUGAUGCAGCGACGCCGCGUGAGUGAAGAGGUAUUUCGGUAUGUAAAGCUCUAUCAGCAGGGAAGAUAAUGACGGUACCUGACUAAGAAGCCCCGGCUAACUACGUG
rnacentral:rRNA from 1 species